rnacentral:rRNA from 1 species
GACGAACGCUGGCGGCGUGCUUAACACAUGCAAGUCGAACGGUGAGGAGGAGCUUGCUCCUCCGAUCAGUGGCGAACGGGUGAGUAACACGUGAGUAACCUGCCCCAGACCCUGGGAUAACAGUUGGAAACAGCUGCUAAUACCGGAUACGAGACGGAGAGGCAUCUCUACCGUCUGGAAAGAUUUAUCGGUCUGGGAUGGACUCGCGGCCUAUCAGCUUGUUGGUGAGGUAAAGGCUCACCAAGGCGACGACGGGUAGCCGGCCUGAGAGGGCGACCGGCCACACUGGGACUGAGACACGGCCCAGACUCCUACGGGAGGCAGCAGUGGGGAAUAUUGCACAAUGGGCGAAAGCCUGAUGCAGCGACGCCGCGUGAGGGAUGACGGCCUGGUUGUAACGUACGUUCUAGCUAGGAAGAAGCGAAAGUAGA